GAUUCAAAUUAAUGAAUCCAAUGAGAGCCGUUCCUUUGGCAACACUGAUCUGCAAAGCAGAUCCUGCAGAACAGAAGUACCUUGAGAAGACAUAUUCAAGUCAAUGGGAGUAGCAGCAAAACUCCUGUUGAAACAUAAUUAAGUGCUUAGCUUGGAAACAAAUACUAUGAGCAUUCCUCUUGAGAGAGAACAUAACGUCUGGUAUCCAGCCCUCCACAAACUGAUUUGUGGUAGAUAAGGCACGGAGAAGACUACUAGGUUAAAACCACAGUAUUCUAUAAACUCCUAUUUUGCACUGAUAAUGAAGUAGUAAUGGAAGACUGAGCGAAUAAUUUUUUCUCAUUUCAUGAGAGUAUUUUUCUUCAGUGUGAAGUACAGCUUGCAGAAUUUCCAUCCAGGUUUGGAAGUUUUCAAAACCUGCCUAGAGAGAAAGCCCUAGAAAACCAGAUCUGAACUCAGUGCUGGUCCUGCUUGGAGGAGGAGGUUGAAUUUGAUGAUCUCCUAAGGUCCUUUCCUCAAUGAUUCUGUGAUUCUGCUUUACGAUAAUUAAACACAUUUUCAGGUUGUGCAAUAAGAGAUCACUGAUCGUCCUUCCAGAUAUCUAUAUCACCCAUUUACCACAAUUCUUCCUCUCUGUGCUUUUAAAUCAAAUACUUCUGUGCAAAAUACAAUACUGCUAAAAAAUAAAA